rnacentral:rRNA from 1 species
UACGUAGGGGGCAAGCGUUGUCCGGAAUCAUUGGGCGUAAAGCGCGUGUAGGCGGCUUGGUAAGUCUGCUCUGAAAGCCCGGGGCUCAACCCCGGGAGGCGGGUGGAUACUGUCAAGCUCGAGUCCGGAAGAGGAGUGUGGAAUUCCUGGUGUAGCGGUGAAAUGCGCAGAUAUCAGGAGGAACACCAAUGGCGAAGGCAGCACUCUGGGACGUGACUGACGCUGAGACGCGAAAGCGU